rnacentral:rRNA from 1 species
CCUACGGGUGGCAGCAGUGGGGAAUAUUGCACAAUGGGGGAAACCCUGAUGCAGCGAAGCCGCGUGAGUGAGGAAGUAUUUAGGUAUGGUAAGCUCUAUCAGCAGGGAAGAAAAUGACGGUACCUGACUAAGAAGCCCCGGCUAACUACGUGACAGCAGCCGCGGUAAUACGUAGGGGGCAAGCGUUAUACGGAUUUACUGGUUGUAAAGGGAGCGUAGACGGGUAAUCAAGCCCGAAGUGAAAUCCCAGGGCUCAACCAUGGGACUGCUUUUGAAACUGAGUAGCUAGAGUGCAGGAGAGGUAGGCGGAAUUCCUAGUGUAGCGGUGAAAUGCGUAGAUAUUAGGAGGAACCCCAGUGGCGAAGGCGGCUUACUGGACUGUAACUGACGUUGAGGCUCGAAAGCGUGGGGAGCAAACAGGAUUAGAUACCCCUGUAGUC